UAGCUAAGGUUUUCAGCCCCUGGGGACAAGUGAAGAUUUUGCGCCCUUUUCUUUGUGCCAGGAAUGGAAAACAUUUCAUUAAAAAAUUUUGUAAUAUCAGUUUGGCGUCCCCUGGAUGCUGCGCCCGAGGACAGAUGUCCCCCCUUGCCCCAUCCUAGCUGUGCCACUGUCUGUCCUGCAGUCGUCCAUAUAGCUACGAUGCCUCUAAUAUCGAAAUUAAAUCCUUCCUCUCAAACCAUUCCUCUAUAAGCAUGAUAAUGACUGCUACAGAUAAAAGCUGAAAGAACUAGGAUCAUAUUCCGUUGAAGACAUUUCUUCCACAGUAAUAUUUUGUAGCUGUUUUCGAAGAUCAUUUUUGUAGUCCUCUAGUUUAGUUGAAAAAGGAGAAGAAAAAUGCACUCAUUUAAUUGAAGCUCACAAGGAAUGUAUGAAGAAAUUAGGCUUCAAUAUAUGAUGAAUUACAUUUUGUAAACACUGUAAAAGCUUACAGUAUAAUUAAGAAUUACCUCUCAGCAGGAAUUUGUAAAACUACUUAUGUAUAUAAUUGUAAAAUGAUUUAGACUGGAAAAUAAAAUUUCCAGUUUAAAAAAA